UGGCGCGGGAUUGUGCAGCCGCCGCGGUAAUACGUAGGGUGCGAGCGUUGUCCGGAAUUACUGGGCGUAAAGAGCUCGUAGGUGGUUUGUCGCGUUGUUCGUGAAAUCUCACGGCUUAACUGUGAGCGUGCGGGCGAUACGGGCAGACUAGAGUACUGCAGGGGAGACUGGAAUUCCUGGUGUAGCGGUGGAAUGCGCAGAUAUCAGGAGGAACACCGGUGGCGAAGGCGGGUCUCUGGGCAGUWACUGACGCUGAGGAGCGAAAGCGUGGGGAGCGAACAGGAUUAGAUACCCUGGUAGUCCACGCCGUAAACGGUGGGUACUAGGUGUGGGUUUCCUUCCUUGGGAUCCGUGCCGUAGCUAACGCAUUAAGUACCCCGCCUGGGGAGUACGGCCGCAAGGCUAARACUCAAAGGAAUUGACGG
rnacentral:rRNA from 1 species